rnacentral:rRNA from 1 species
CUCUUGGAAACGGGUGGUAAAUUGCUGGAUGCUCCAACUUGACGCAUAUCUUGUUGGGAAAGUGUUUAGUGGCAUGGGAUGGGGUCGCGUCCUAUCAGCUUGUAGGCGGGGGUAAUGGCCCACCUAGGCUUCGACGGGUAGCCGGCCUGAGAGGGCGGACGGCCACAUUGGGACUGAGAUACGGCCCAGACUCCUACGGGAGGCAGCAGUGGGGAAUAUUGCGCAAUGGGGGAAACCCUGACGCAGCGACGCCGCGUGCGGGAUGAAGGCCUUCGGGUUGUAAACCGCUUUUGAUUGGGAGCAAGCCUUUUGGGUGAGUGUACCUUUCGAAUAAGCGCCGGGCUAACUACGUGCCAGCAGCCGCGGUAAAU